rnacentral:sRNA from 1 species
UUAUAUUCUCCACAGGGGGGGAUGAGAACCCCCGACCGGGGUUCGACAAUUGGCGCAGCCAGUUGGACAGACCGCGAGCCUGCGAGCGGGCUGCCCCGCAGGGGCGAGCGAAGCGAGUCAAUCCCCCCCUCACCGCCA